AAAUGUAAUUGUAAUGCAAGCUGAAGAAGAUAGCCUUAUACAUGAAGGUGGUAUUUCUGCAUUGUGAUGCUAUCUAACUGCUUUGUUUGAUUUAAUUAAUUUUUGUAAAGGAUGUUUUCUUUUACAGCUUAGACCACUUUUUGAAGCUCAGCUGGGACUGCUUCCCAGUGAUGUGUUACAAAAUUGAUGCACCCCCUGUGUGGGGCCCACACAGAAUCCCACUCAGGGCUUUCUUGCCUGACCCCAAGGGCUACACUUAAAUUCUCAACAUCCCUGAAACCCAGAGUACAUGCCUUGCUUCUCUGAAUUCACAUUCACUUACCAGGACACUGAGCCAGCAAAUCAGAUGCACACAGCUCGCCUGUCUGUGCUGCCUUCAAGCUCUGCCUUCCUGCAACAUGUGCUCUUCUCUCCAAGGUCAGAGCAGCAUGACACAGAAGAAAGAGUAAUCGCCUGGGAGAUUUGUCUGGAAGUAGAGAAGUAGAAGACAGCAGGUGACAUCCUUUUCCACCACAGGCACUGCAUCAGAAAUAUGUGUCCACAUAAAAAGCUAAAGGCCUUAUAAUUCAAGGUUUUGUUCUAUCAGUGUAAAGCAAAAGUGACAUCCAGUGGUCUGCAAAUCCAGACUGUUUGGAGUUCAUAUUACAAAAGCACUGCAGAAUGUUUCAAAGAAAAUUUCAUCUUCUUUGCUGACUUCUGUGAAUUUGUUAUACAAAUUAUAUAUUUUGUAUAUGUUCAAAAGAGACUUCAUUUGUCUCUUUUAUAAAGUUAUAAUUUGACUUAAAAAAAUAAAUCAUAUUGCUAAAGUUGUGAACA
rnacentral:lncRNA from 1 species